rnacentral:rRNA from 1 species
AGCAGUAGCCGCGGUAAGACAGAGGAUGCAAGCGUUAUCCGGAAUGAUUGGGCGUAAAGCGUCUGUAGGUGGCUUUUCAAGUCCGCCGUCAAAUCCCAGGGCUCAACCCUGGACAGGCGGUGGAAACUACCAAGCUGGAGUACGGUAGGGGCAGAGGGAAUUUCCAGUGGAGCGGUGAAAUGCGUUGAGAUCGAAAAGAACACCAACAGCGAAAGCACUCUGCUGGGACGACACUGACACUAAGAGACGAAAGCUAGGGGAGCAAAUGGGAUUAGAUACCCGCGUAGUCCCUGUCUCUUAUAC